AGCGAACGCUGGCGGCAGGCCUAACACAUGCAAGUCGAGCGGCCGUAGCAAUACGGCAGCGGCAGACGGGAUAGUAACACGUGGGAACGUGCCCUUUGGUUCGGAAUAACUCGGCGAAAGCCGUGCUAAUACCGGAUAAGCCCUUACGGGGAAAGAUUUAUCGCCAUUGGAGCGGCCCGCGUCUGAUUAGCUAGUUGGUG
rnacentral:rRNA from 1 species